rnacentral:sRNA from 1 species
GUCUCUCUGGGAACAAUGGGGAACCCAUCAGCUAGGCUAAGCUGGCUGUGAGGAAGUCCUAGGAAUCUACCUCUCUGUCUCCCCAUUAGAGUAUUGGAAGUCACCAUGCUGGAAAUUGUCAUAGAUGCUAGCUCAUGUUUACAAGACGAGAAUGUGACAUUCAUUUUCUAUUAAGAAAUGAGCCCAUUUGAAUUCUGCUUGUUCAACUUUUCUUAACCAGAAGUCCAUAAAGAUUUUCUUCUUGGCCUUUUUGCAGUCCUGGAUCCUUCAUCUCUACAAAUCCCAUCGCGAAAUCUUCCCGACAGUCUCACGUUUGAACCAAUGACCCUCAUCUCUUACUGUCAUCAAUUUACUCUUCUUAAUUUCUGUUCUCAUUUUAUUUGUACAAUAUAAUUCAAAACCAGGGGUCCAUGUCUAUUUCAUCAAAAGUCUCAGAUGCCUGCAGCCGUGGCUGGCCAAUGUGAUUUGUUAUAUGAAUGA